rnacentral:rRNA from 1 species
GAUGAACGCUGGCGGCGUGCCUAAUACAUGCAAGUCGAGCGAACGGACGAGAAGCUCGCUUUUCUGAUGUUAUCGGCGGACGGGUGAGUAAGACGUGGAUAACCUACCUAUCAGACUGGGAUAACUUCGGGAAACCGGAGCUAACUCCGGCUUAUAUUUUUAAUCGCCUGGUUCAAAAGUGCAAGACGAUCUUGCUGUCACUUAUAGAUGGAUCCGCGCUGCAUUAGCUAGUUGGUAAGGUAACGGCUUACCAAGGCAACGAUGCAUAGCCGACCUGAGAGGGUGAUCGGCCACACUGGAACUGAGACACGGUCCAGACUCCUACGGGAGGCAGCAGUAGGGAAUCUUCCGCAAUGGGCGAAAGCCUGACGGAGCAACGCCGCGUGAGUGAUGAAGGUCUUCGGAUCGUAAAACUCUGUUAUUAGGGAAGAACAUAUGUGUAAGUAACUGUGCACAUCUUGACGGUACCUAAUCAGAAAGCCACGGCUAACUACGUG